UCAUUCACAAGGAAACAGACAGCUACUAGCCAGUAGACGGGAGGCAACAAAUGAUCGCGUUUUAAUACAUUAUUUAUCACCUGUUCAAUUCAAACAUCUUUCUUGUGCAGCUCAUCAGUUCAGCAACACUGAAAGCCUCUUACUCACUCGCUGCUGUAUCAAUACAGACAACAAAGGUGUCCUGAUACUACCGAAGCAGUCACUGAUUACCUGAGAACUUCUUGGUUUUUGCCUUUAGUAUUCUGUUUGGAGCACUCUUUUUCUGGGUCAAGCCAUUUCAGUGGUGGAAACAACCUUCUUUCAUUCUCAAGCAUACACGGCAGCACUCUAUACGUUGAGAGGAUAUGGGUUUGAACACCGGCAGGUGUACGAACUCCCAACAUGCUGGGGAGAUGUAUUUGUCAUGUUGUUAACUGAGAUGUGUGUGACUUGGCUCUUGCAAAUGUUUCCUUUAGGGCUGAAAACUCUCCAAGACCCAGCUAAGGCUUCAUGUCCCUUUGCAAAGCUGUGCCCACCUGGCCAUUUUCAAAGUGCUGGAGGUUGGUCUGGGGCCAAGCAUCUCAGGUUUCUUAAAGGCCAGGGCUCUUUCUAUUUGCCAUGGUGGAUGGUGUGGAGUCAUUACUGUGCUAUAGUAGUCAUGACUGCCAUUUAUAAAGCUACCUGUCCUUAUCUGAGAAAAGAUCCUUUAUGCAUAUGCAAAUGUAUCUCCCUUUUCUUGGUUUGUAUACCUCUCCUUUGUGCUGUAUAGUAACCAUUGAGGGAUGUUCAGAAUCCAAACUUCGUCACACAUUAUUGCUCUAAGUAAUAAUGGAUUUGGAAUCUAAAUCUGGAGUUCACUGGUAGGAAUCAGUGAACCUUGUUCCUCUUAUGUACAUGUAACAAUGUCCCCUGUCAACAACUGUCAGUAGAAACACAUGUGGGGGAGAAUAGUAUUAAUUAUAUUCAAUUCCAUGUCAUAAAGGAGUGAUCCAUAUAAUCACCACCAUGUUUUGUACAUAUAAAAAUAUUUCCUGUAAAUAUACACAGGCAAGUGCAUUGCCAUUAUCCAGGAUCCAGGUGGGAAAAGAUAAAGUCAAGGACUUUAGUUUAUUCCAAGUGCAUAUUUUAGUUCUGGUAAAGGAGUUAAUACUUUCAGGGAUUUGUGACACAAUUAUAGAUCUAAUUACUUAAGUUCCUGGUACCAAGUAGGUUAUUUCUACCUGAUCUUCAAAGCCCAGACUCCCCAAGACAGAGACGUACAACCUUGGCCAAGUCAGUAUUAAGCAAAUGAUUUAACAUCUAAUGAGUUAAGAGGUUCCCUAAAAUUAUUUUCCAAUCCUGGUGUCCAGGAACCCAGGGAAGAAUCUAGUCAUGGGUGUGCAUUUAUUUAAUAGAGAUUGAAGAAAAUCACUUGGAAGCUAAGAGUGUUGGUAUUCUAAUAAAAGAAUAGAUUUAGCUUAUAAGAAAAAAAAUCUGGAUUUUUGGAGAAAUUGUUUUUCAUUUAAUCAGAAGCACAUGACAGAAAAAGGAAGCACAUUUGUAUAUAGUGGCAACUAUAUUUCUGAUAAUAAAUUUCAUGAAAUGUUUUCUGUACCAAUCAGAAUAGGCAGCUGAGAACCUUCCUCUCUGAAAAUAAGACAGUUAUUCAAUGAGUACAUUCUUAGGAAAGCUUUCUCACUUUCUUUCAUGAAAAUAUUAGAUUUUGGAAGUUUAAAAUAACUGUAUACCUGUGGAUAGCCUCGAUUCAUGUAACUACAUUCAGGUCAGAUCUUUUAUAAGAAUAGUUAUUGUUGAUAAAUAUAUGGUAUUUUCAAAAAGCAUUUUUAGAUAUCCAUUUAUGGAAGCUUUUUAGAGGAUUAAGUUCUUCCUUUGGUUCUUAGUUUCCUUUCUCAUGUGAGUAGCAGCAGAAGAAAGCAACCAGCCAUUUGAAUUAGCUUAUUACAAAAUGUGGAGUAUGUAUAAACUUUAAAUGAUAUAAUAUUUGGAUUAAUAAAACAGAAUAUAAACACUAUAGAACAGUCAAAAACUACUAUUCUUGAAGCCAGAAAAAAAUCAUUUGGAGACAUAUAACAUAUUAAAAAUAUGGGGACAUAUAACAUAUUAAAAAUGCAAUAGCAGAGAUUGAACUGAUUGACUCACAAUUCUAUAAUUUAUGGAAGAAAGAAAAACAUUAGAGGGUAAGUUUAAGCUGUUUUGAAGACACUUUCCCUUGGUUUUCUGAUAUGUUCUUUUCAAAUAUUCUGAAAAUUUAAGAAGUAUGUGUUUCAGGUACUUAUGGCUAAGUUUUGAUAUUUGAUUGGGUUAUUCCAUAUUUUCAUCUUUCCAAAAAGAGUUUAUGUUUUAACACUUUCAGGAUGUUAAAGAUGUCCUCAAAAUGGUUCAUUGGACAUGGUGAGUGUCAAUGAAUAUUUACUGUAUAAUGAGAUCUGAGGUUAACAACAAUAAAACUGCAAAUCAGAAUAGAAAUAUGUUUCCUAACUUUUCCAUGUAAACAAUAUUUCAAUGUGUAUAAAAGUGUUUAGUUCCUCAGUUUUGUGCUACAUAUGAUUUGAAGCAGUCUGACCCGGAUGGCACCAGAUUGAAUCAGUCUUCCCACUCCACGAGGGCUCCAUGUUUAUCAAGGUCUCUUCCUUCUAAAACUGGGAGCCCUGUUAGGAUUAGCAACAUGUUCUAAGAUGGGCCCAUAGGGUACUUGCCUCUGUGCCUUGCUAACCAAGCUUAGGAUUUGACAAUGGGCAUGAAAUGUUCAUAAAGAAUUGCUUUGAUGAUGCUUCACAAACAGAAAGAAGGUCUCUGGGGGAGGAAGGAAGGUUGGGGAGGGGCUGGAAUUUUAUCUUACCUUCUCAUGUGUUCCUAUUGGGGAAAGAAAAACCAGGAAAUCCCUUGAAGCUCUGAGAAUCAGACAAUACCAGGCUUCCAGCUGGACACUACAGAAGCCAAGUGCCACACCCCACUGCAGGUCUCAGUGGGGCCCCAGGACUUCACAUCUUUAACAAGUCUGAGUGGUGCUGAGGAUGUGGUUAUGGGGACUGUUCCCUUCCCAGGGUUAGGGCAACAACUAAAAGAGAAAGAUGCUGACAGUCCAUGGUUUGUUAGGCUAAAACAGGCCUGCCUGGAUCUCACACUCUUUUGCAUCUCUUCUCUGAACCUGGGGGCUUGACAUGAACUUCUGGAGAUGCCUGGCCACUCUGGGAUGAGGUAAGAGGCUCCAGAGUCAUCAUCACUUUGAAACUAUUUUGAGGAAGAUCCACCUCAGUGUCCCUAGAUUAUAGUCACUGAGGUAAGACACAACCUCGACAUUUCCUAGCCAGACAUCUUGGCAGAUGAUUUAACCUCCGUGCCCCUAAUUUCCUCAUCUACAAAUGGGAAGAACAAGAAUUAGCUGCUUCCUGGACUGUAGUCCAUGAACAUGGUAUGUGUAAAGUAGUGGCUCAUAGCAAGCAAGAGAAUUAGUCAGAAAAAAGGCAGUUCAGAGGGUACAAAUGAGGAGGUUACAAUGCAGGAACUACACACAGAAGAGUAUAAAAAUGUUCAGGUACUCAGAGAGGAAACUAAGCCUCUGGAGGUCAGAGAGAUCCACAGCUUGCAGGAGGACCACCCUGGAAAGAGCUACUGUAGUCAUAUAAGGGAUAAGCCACUGCCCAGGAUUCUGCAUCAGUGUGAGAUUGUGGUAAAAUAUAUAUAUGCUGGCAUCUCUUUCUUCCCCCUGCUGUUCUUCAAGGUCUCUGAUUAGCAAUAGCAGAAGGCAAGAGGACCAGCUACAGUGUGCAGGAGUCUGCCUCCCACAGGGCAGAGCAGAGAGAGAAACACAUCAAGGAUGGAGCAGUGGCAGGUGGGGGGUCUGGAACACAGUGCCGGAUAGGUGUGUAGUUGCUACUGGAUGAAGAUUUACACCAGUUUCUUGGAAAUUUCAAUUUAUGCUUGUGGUAUACUUUCAAUCUUAAAGGUAUUUCAUAUCUCAGGGGAUGUUUGCACCAACACUCUAAAACACCAUGUCAUUUGGAGUUCAAGUUACACGAGCACUCUAGUCAUUAUCAAAGUGUGGGAGAAUCUGUGAUGUGGCAGACUUGAAUACUUUCUCUCUGCCCAGUGCAGCAUUCCUGGAAGUGGCUUCUCCCUUAGAACAGAAAGCAAGUUCAGUCACUUGGCCCUGACUCGAUGAAAUUAAUGUUUGGUCUAUUGAUCAGGCAGGUGUUACCUGGGUGUGUCGGGUGGGGAAAGACACAUCUAGCACACUCAGAACAGCAAACAUUUGUGAUAUGUUGACUUUGUCUUAUUUAUAUCAUGCAGCAAUAAAUGUGUUUGUUGUUGCUAAGUCCCUAAGCCAUAUCCCUUUCAGAAGCUAUCAGACUGGCUGGGCCAAGAGCACAGAGGGAGACUCUUUUCCUGGAGUGGUGUAGAAAAGCCUGGAAGCCUGGCAUCUCUCUGAAAUGCUGUAUCAAAGGCCCAGCCCAGCACACAGGGCAGUGGGUAUACGAGGCCUGCCUCUGAGAAUCCUCCAAGGAGGCCUCGAGGAGCCAAGGCACACUUAAGCUUGUCUCCAAAGAACCCAAAACUCAUCCCAGACUUGCUUUGUCUGUUUAGCAAACUCACUGCACACCUCACCUGUCUUUGCGCCUGCCGUCUAGGAGGGUCUUUGAAAUUUAUUUUCUCCUUUUAGCCUGCUGUAUUUUUAAUGUCUGAGUGAAAGAACAAAGGAAGGCGAACACCAGACAAGAUCGUUUCAUUCCUCCAUGAGCUGCGGUGUAGCUCCGCUCAAGCUCAGCUAACAUCAAUGUUUUAAAAUUCCGUCUUUGCUAGAGAACCGGUGCUGGGGUAGUCAUCCACGCCAAAGUCAGGGCCCUGUUUCUGCCUUUCAUUUGGGGACAUAAAAGGCCCGUGCAUCAAUCAUUAACAAUCUAUUAACACUAGCAGCUCAGAGAGGUUUUCCUGGUAUGGUCAACCUCAUUGGAAGAAAUUCCUGCUGCCCAGCUGGCCGUCUGUCCGUGUGAUCCACCCAUACUGGCUGUUUUCAGCUUUGAAAGGGCUCACUGACUCCUCUUUCAUCUCUCCCUGAGUAAUAGAUACCUGGUAGGCUGGCUCUCCUCCUCCCCCACUGUCAGCUUCCCCACCUGCCUCCUCAGACUUCUGGCUUGAAGAACCGCUUGCGUGAACACUGACACUAUUGAUUGUGUGUAAGUGGCGUGCGGGGCUGCUAGACAUCUACCUGGAUAUGCAGGCAAGAGGAUAGGGCUGGUUCAUCUACAUGAGCAGAGCAGGGAGGGUCUUGGAAGUCUCUGCUUGGUGUUCCCGACUGUUGAAUUUAAUUGGUUUAAACCAGUCGGCAGGAAGAGGUCUAGCUCAUCAAUCAGAACCUGCUUUGGAAAAGGCUGAUGGAUUGGGUGCACAUCUGGAAGUUCUGCAAAACCUAGAGAGUUUUGGUCUAGACUUUCCUUUCCUCCCUCUGUGACAAAAUACACACCACACAAAUGUUACCAUUGUGACUACUUAAAGAUAGACUCAGAGACAUUGAAGCAGCUCCAUGGCAUUGCACCACACCCACCCACAGCUUUCAUGAAUCUUCCUAACUUAAAGACUCUCCAUGCAACCUUAGUCAGUAAAUCAGCCUGUCUCAGCCCCCAUUGUCCUUAAAAACCACUGUUUGACCUCUCUCUGAGUUUAACCCUCAGCUUUAUAUAUGUGAAGUCACACAGUGACUGGCUGUGACUGGCUCCUUUCAAUGCACAUGCCAGCAUUUUAUAAUAAAUAAUUCUAUAAUAAGUAAAAUAUUUAUAAUAUAUUUUAUUAUAAAAAACUAUUUAUAAUAAGCAAAUAGUAUUUAUUUAGUCAUUUAUUUACUUUACCACAGUCUGCAUGUCCCCUCACUUACCCAUGGAUGUCCUGUUGUCUCUAACUUUGGCCGAUUGCGAACGGUGUUAUUAUAAACACGUGUGCAGAGACUGCCCUCCAGAAUCUCUGCUCUUGAUUGUCUGGGUUAGAAACCCAGAGGUAGACCACCAGAGCACUUGUCAGUCCUGUGUUUAGAAUUUUCAGGCUCUGUCAUACUGCUUUCCAUACCAGUUAUCCUGUGCCUUACCUACACCCAGCACUACACGGGAGGUCCAAGUUUUGUAGGGAUUACUGAAGUGCCAGUGCUCUCCCCCCAAUGCUUUUUUCCCCUCCUCCUCAGCGGAGGGGAAGACCACAGGCAACUUAAUGGGAUAUUUAGCUGAACUCACCCCUCAGCUGCCUCUUGUAUGUGAUUGAUAUCUAGAAGCUCUGUGGCAUUUCUUUCAAAGUAGAGUCUCAUCCUGGUCCAGCUGGCCCCUCCCCAGUGUCCUCCAUGUUCCUUCUGCUGCAGGGUGCCCUGGCAUUUUCUUCCUUCAACAAUGAAAUGAGAUUCCCUGGGAGGUGUACAUGCCAUGUGGUGUGUCCGUUUGCCUAUUAUGGACAAGGGUUGCUUCUGCCUUCUAGAUAAUGUAAAUAACGUUGUUAACAAUGUAGGUUUACAAAUAUCUUCUCUGGUUCCUCUGGACCCGCUGGCAGGUGGGAAUGAAGUUUCUGUAUCUUCAGGUAAGUCACGUUUAAUUUUUUGAGGUACCACCUUACCGUUUAUCCUCAGGGGCUGUACCAUCUAACUUUCUGUCAGUAACACACAGGGCUCUUGCCAACAAUUGUUACCUUUUCUUGUUAUUGUUGUUUUCAUUUUAGUGCUGACUUUGAUACUGAGUCAUCAAAUGACCUUCACCAGGUGAGGAAGUCACUAGUCUCUGACCAGCUUUCCUGCUUGGAGCAGCUGUUCUCCUCUGACAGUGAGCAUAAGUUGCUGGCCACAGUGUCUUCAUUCGGCCUCUGUCUCAUUCUCUUGGUGCCAGUUUCUUCACCUUACAAAUGGGAACAAUGUAUUCCUCUCCUCUCUCUCAGAGAGCUGCUGUGCCAGACAAAGGCGUUGAGGACCAGCUGUAGGGAAGGAAAUUGAAGGGCUGGAGAACUAUGGAAUGAGAAGAUACAAGGAAGGAACCAAGAACCCAGUGAGAGGUGACUAGUAUGACGGUGGGUGUCAUUUCUCUCUCCCCAUUCCCUCCCAGCCACCUUUCCCUCCCACUCGUCCCUCCUGGCUCCUUGUUUGUGAUUCCUCGCUGCCUUGUUUAACUAUCAGAACCCGUGCCAAAACCCAUACUUAGCUGCUGAAAGCUCCUUGCCGGGUUGCCUCUGAAGUUAAUGGCAGAGUCUUUGAAAAUGACCUUAGAAGCAAAUCAUAAGCAACCGAGGACAUGAAACUACCUCAAGUCCGUCUGUUGGAGUGCGAGCCACCUCCAAGCUUCCAUUCCCAUGUAAAACAGAAGAUAUGAUUUAUAAUUUAUAGCGCAUCGGUACAGCCCUGAUUGAAGCAAACCACUUUGAUGAAGAGUUGGUUUCAUGCUAGUGUCGUGGAACACCACUCCAAAUCAGAAAAUAUUUAGAACUCCAACUCCUCUGCUCUGACUUUGAAGUAAAGAGAUUUGUAUUUUAUGUGCUUCUCUGAACGAAAAAAAAAUAAAGAAAAAUGUGUGUACACUCCAACAUGCAUGUGGUAGGAAUAUGAAAACAUUUACAUGUGUAUCAGCACCAAAAUGUAAUUACUGCAUUAGGCACUGAAAAUAUUUAUAGACUCAUAUCUCAUGUGGAAGACCUGGUUCCAAUAAUUCUCAGAAAAUUGUGAAAUUCAGACUUUGUUUUCUUGGGACUAACUUAAUUUAUUUGAAAUUGACAACACAUGAAGGACAAAAAUCAAAGCCCGUCAACUUUCCACCACCCCAGCUAAUGACCUAUUAAAGUUAUUUUUCUACAACAACAGAAAUCUUACAUGCUUGGGGAAGUGAAGAAACUUAAGAGAAAGAAGAAAGAAGCUCCUUUUGCUUAGUGGAGUAUUAUUUCCAGCCACCAAAGGAACCAGCCUGUAAGUCUCCUCAACCCCCACUGGAUUCCUGGCUGAAUCUCCUGGUUCAACAAGCGUCACUGACGACAACGUGGCAUUUUGCCUUCAGCAUGCUCAUCCUUCUCCCUCUAGCCACAGAUCUGGAUCCAUAAACUACAACUUUGGGCACCGUCCAUAGGGUGUGGAUGGAUAACUGGGUGAACCAGGGGGCCAUAGCUCUGGUGUACCAGAGGAAACGGAUACAUGAUCUUCAUAGGAGGCAAUAAAAGCCAUGGGAAAUGCCCAGGGAGCAGAGGGAGAAAGGAAUGAGUAUGGCUCUCUCUAACCUGUCCCCGCAGAUCCAGGCCAGGCUUGAGAGUCAGUCCUGGCCCCCAGCACCUGUCUGUACUAGGCAAUCUUCCUCACCUAAAUUCUCCUGCAGUCUCCUAGGAUUAAACACCUUAUAAAGAAAUCUGACCAUGCUUGCUCAACUACCUUCUGUGGUUCCUCAUUGCCCACAGACCAAACAGGUGUGAAAUAGACAGCACGUGACAACAGGGGUUGGGGAAGCCUGUGACAAACUGCUGCUUGUCCCUGCUGCUCUGUGCUACUGUGUUUCAGAUGUGCCAAUGGUUUUUAAAGCAAAAGCCGGAGAGAUGUGUUUCUGGGUGGCACAGCACUUUGUGGAUUUAGCAGUAGUCCUUGGCCGCCUUCAUGUGUCUCUCCAGAGCUGACAUGUGACUGGGGAGGAAAGGUGCUCAGUGGGAUGGACAGGGUCUCCAAAUGGACCCUACAGCUGGGGCUGUCCUGUCAUCACGUCCCACCCCAUACCCAGCCAGGGAUCCUUUGUUCAAGGUAACCAUGUUGUAUAUCUUGUGCAUGCCUGUGUGAGCUUACAAGGCUUUUCUGACCCUGCCACCCAGCUGAGAGCAUUCUUCCCCUACCCUAUGCCUUCAGAGCUCCACUCCAGUGGUGCCUCCUCUGAGAAGUCCCCCCAGAUAACUCCUGUAACAACGGAAGGGACAGCACACUACCUGAGCUUCCUGAAGCCCCACAGUAGCUUCUGAUACAUGCUGGGACUCUCUGGACCUCUCUGACCUGUCAGUAUGUGGCCAGGUACUUUCUUACUUGUAGUGUGAGCACACAUUGAUGAUGCUGC
rnacentral:lncRNA from 1 species